GGAUGUAGUUCAGUUGGUAGAGUGCUUGCCUCACAUGCACAAAGCCCUGGGUUCAACCCCUAGCACCA
rnacentral:tRNA from 1 species